AGGGAGCAGCCAUCUUAGAGGAAGCUGAGACUGAGGAACUGUUUGAGCAGAGAAUCUGACGGCAUCCAAGUGUGAGAGCAUCCCUCAGUGACCAGAGCUGCAGCUGAGUGAAGCUGAUCGUGUUCAAGACCCUGAUACUGUCCAGAGGAACGA